CCUACGGGUGGCAGCAGUGAGGAAUAUUGGUCAAUGGACGAGAGUCUGAACCAGCCAAGUAGCGUGAAGGAUGACUGCCCUAUGGGUUGUAAACUUCUUUUAUAUGGGAAUAAAACGUUCCACGUGUGGGAUUUUGUAUGUACCAUAUGAAUAAGGAUCGGCUAACUCCGUGCCAGCAGCCGCGGUAAUACGGAGGAUCCGAGCGUUAUCCGGAUUUAUUGGGUUUAAAGGGAGCGUAGGUGGAUUGUUAAGUCAGUUGUGAAAGUUUGCGGCUCAACCGUAAAAUUGCAGUUGAAACUGGCAGUCUUGAGUACAGUAGAGGUGGGCGGAAUUCGUGGUGUAGCGGUGAAAUGCUUAGAUAUCACGAAGAACUCCGAUUGCGAAGGCAGUUCACUGGACUGCAACUGACACUGAUGCUCGAAAGUGUGGGUAUCAAACAGGAUUAGAUACCCUAGUAGUC
rnacentral:rRNA from 1 species